rnacentral:rRNA from 1 species
AUACAGAGGGUGCAAGCGUUAAUCGGAAUUACUGGGCGUAAAGCGCGCGUAGGCGGUUUAUUAAGUCGGAUGUGAAAUCCCUGGGCUCAACCUGGGAACUGCAUUCGAAACUGAUUGACUAGAGUAUGGUAGAGGGUGGUGGAAUUCCUAGUGUAGCGGUGAAAUGCGUAGAUAUUAGGAGGAACAUCAGUGGCGAAGGCGACCACCUGGACCAAUACUGACGCUGAGGUGCGAAAGCGUGGGGAGCAAACAGGAUUAGAUACCCUAGUAGUCC